rnacentral:lncRNA from 1 species
ACUGACCAAAUUAAGAAUGGGGUUUCUUGUGAUUGAAGCCAUGGCCACAGAAAGGAUGGACACAUGUGCACAUCAUGGUAUGGACACACGUGCACAUCAUGGCAUGUGCACCAUUGACUUAUUAGGAAGUAAGACAACACGGGCCUAAGAGAGGAGGCUGGAGAGCUCCAUCAGCCAAGGCCGGAAUAAGAAGAGCCAGCAGGC